rnacentral:rRNA from 1 species
GAUGAACGCUGACAGAAUGCUUAACACAUGCAAGUCAACUUGAAUUUGGGUUUUUAACUUAGGUUUGGGUGGCGGACGGGUGAGUAACGCGUAAAGAACUUGCCUCACAGCUAGGGACAACAUUUGGAAACGAAUGCUAAUACCUAAUAUUAUGAUAAUAGGGCAUCCUAUAAUUAUGAAAGCUAUAAGCGCUGUGAGAGAGCUUUGCGUCCCAUUAGCUAGUUGGAGAGGUAACGGCUCACCAAGGCGAUGAUGGGUAGCCGGCCUGAGAGGGUGAUCGGCCACAAGGGGACUGGGACACGGCCCUUACUCAUACGGGAGGCAGCAGUGGGGAAUAUUGGACAAUGGACCGAGAGUCUGAUCCAGCAAUUCUGUGUGCACGAUGAAGUUUUUCGGAAUGUAAAGUGCUUUCAGUUGGGAAGAAACAAAUGACGGUACCAACAGAAGAAGUGACGGCUAAAUACGUG